UGAACACAAAUUCUUGAUUUUUCCAGGAGUAUUUUUUGACUAUAUAAUAGCUUCUUUACCUUCACUCAUUCAACAAAAACCAGGGGUCAUAACUGGCAAGCAUUUUAUUUUCCAACCCUGUCGACUCAACUCUCCAACAAAAGCUAAUACUACCCAGAUCGUGUCCUUGGGAAUUUUUAUUUCCAUUUUCUUCAGGAAGUCACUCUCGACUGGUCUCUUAAGACUCGUUACCACCGAGCGGUACGGUCGGGUCCAUUCCAGUAUUUUGAGUGUUUUCAUUACAAAAUGUACCCAGUAAGCCAGACUGAAAUGUACCAUUUUUAGACCCCUGUUGGUUGUAAGUCCAUAGAAGAUGGGACCGGUCAGCGUGAAGCCACUGUUGAAACCUGUUGAUUGGCUCAAGAUCAUUAUGGCAAAAAAGUGCUAAGAAGGCGGCUUUAUUCCUCUUCGCCAUUCACAGUCUUCUCUCAAACAACAUGAGAUUCUUUGUUUACACGAAGUAUCAAAAUCCAAGUGGAAAAAAAUGAGGUGCUGAAUGACUUUCAUCGUUGUUGUUGCUAGCCUUACUUCCCAUUCGCCAUGAAGGUCCAACUAUGAGUGGAAUCGCUCACCUGAAUUGCCUGGUCCAUUUUAGACCAGACCAUACUCUUCCAUCCAUCCAUUUUUUUUAAUCUGUUAUAUUUCUUUUGGCAUCAUGAGGUUGCCACAGAUGAGAUACACCCUGGACAGGUCGUCAUUUUGUUUCAUGGCUACAAUCACACACGCAUUAAUACCCAGGGGUCACCAAUCUUGUUCCUCGAGGGUUGCCACCCUGCAAGCUUUGCAGCUAACCCUCCUUCAGUAACUGGUGCUCACCUAGAUCAGGUGUGUUCAAUCAGAAACUGGGUUGAUUCAAUCCAGGUAAUCCGCCUCUAUUGAAGCAGAGUUAGUUGGAAAACCAGCAGGCGACAGCCCUCAGGGAACAGGGUUGGUGACCCCUGCUUUAGAGUAACCAAUGAACAUAUGAUACAUGUCUUUGGACUGUGGAAUCCAAUUUUUAUGGAAGGGACAUCCACCUACAGGAUCAGCCACCACACCUGUUCUCCAAGUCCAGAAGUAACAGCAAUAGCCUUAUUGUUCUCUAGUGCCAACGAACUAGAUCUGGUGAUCCCAAUCUCUGAUUGACCGAGCACACCUGAUCCAGGUCAUCAUCAGCAAGGAGGAUCUUGAUUGGUGCACGUCCAGUCUCGGUGUCGGUCAGUUGAUCUGAAUAUCUACUGCCACUGCACACUUUAUUGUUUUAUAUCAUUUUCUACCUACGGACAACAGAUUUCAGCCUGAAGAUCUUACCAUGUGACAGUGCCACCAUAAUUGUUUGACUUCUUCUCUUAUUUUUUGUUGGAAAUGGAUUUGAAAGCAUCAAGACUUACUCAACAAUUCUUCACAGGAUAAAGGUGAUCUGCUGUGACAGGCAGGUGUUUUGUAUGCUGUUCAGAGUCUCUUCAGACCACCAUCUGCUCCCCCAGCAUCCUCCUGGUCGCUCCGGUGUCACUGAGCCACACUCCAGCAAUGUUAAGUGGUGCUACCCACCACUGAUUUAAAUAGAAAAAUAGGGACUGCUCUAUAUUAACAGAAAAAAAUUACAUGCAAGACGAGUCCUUUACUUCACCGGGGAAAGAGAGAGUAGUAGAGGAAUAAAGUCGAAUUUUCUUUGCUUUUUGUUUGGUCAUUUUUCACAAGGAGAUAUUCACUGUUUUUACACACACUUCAUUUUCUGCUCCAGACGACAUGCAGAAUUCUAUUUUUUUUCUGUAAGUGUUGCUUCUGAGAACAUUUUUUUGGUCAACUUUAUCCGUCGUACCUUGAACUUUGUAAAUAUUUUCAUGCCAAUAAAUUUCUAGACAUGCAUGACACCUCCCUGAAAUUCAGAUA